UACGGGGGGGGCAAGCGUUGUUCGGAAUUACUGGGCGUAAAGGGUUCGUAGGUGGCUCGCUAAGCCAGACGUGAAAUCCCUCAGCUUAACUGGGGAACCGCGUCUGGGACUGGAGAGCUUGAGUACAGGAGAGGAAUGCGGAAUUCCAGGUGUAGCGGUGAAAUGCGUAGAUAUCUGGAGGAACACCGGUGGCGAAGGCGGCAUUCUGGACUGCAACUGACACUGAGGAACGAAAGCCAGGGGAGCAAACGGG
rnacentral:rRNA from 1 species